CGGGGUGAGUAACGCGUGAGGAACCUGCCUCAAAGAGGGGGACAACAGUUGGAAACGACUGCUAAUACCGCAUAAGCCCACAGGUCGGCAUCGACCAGAGGGAAAAGGAGCAAUCCGCUUUGAGAUGGCCUCGCGUCCGAUUAGCUAGUUGGUGAGGUAAUGGCCCACCAAGGCAACGAUCGGUAGCCGGACUGAGAGGUUGAACGGCCACAUUGGGACUGAGACACGGCCCAG
rnacentral:rRNA from 1 species